rnacentral:rRNA from 1 species
AGUGAACGCUGGCGGUAGGCCUAACACAUGCAAGUCGAACGGCAGCACAGUAAGAGCUUGCUCUUACGGGUGGCGAGUGUCGGACGGGUGAGGUAUACAUCGGAAUCUACUUUUUCGUGGGGGAUAACGUAGGGAAACUUACGCUAAUACCGCAUACGACCUACGGGUGAAAGCAGGGGAUCUUCGGACCUUUUGCGAUGGAAUGAGCCGACGUCGGCUUAGCUAGUUUGCGGGGUCAAGGCCUAACCAGGCGACGAUCCGUAGAUGGUCUGAGAGGAUGGUCCGACACCCUGGAAGUGAGACUGGGCCCAGACUCCUACGGGAGGCAACAGUGGGGAAUAUUAGACGAGGCAGGAGAGCGUGAUCCAGGCAUACCGCGUAGGUGAAGAAGGAGCUCGGGUUGGAGAGCCAUUUUGUUGGGAGAGAAGAGCAGCAGGUUAAUACCGCGCGGUUAUGACGGUACCGAAAGAAUAAGCACCGGCUAACUUCGUG